ensembl:lncRNA
AGUUUUCACGGUGUUCAUGGUGCAUGGUGCUCGUUGAGAGGAAGAAAUAAAUUGACACCCGUUUGAAACUCUCUGCGUCUUGAUCAAUAUAUCCGAGGGGCCGCUACAGUGAAAACUCAUCGCUGCACCAGCCCUGCCAUCCCUGGUGAGAAGCUGAUGCCAUCACAUCUGAAGUCCAACCACCAACCUAAUACCGGCCAGUUUACUUCGCUUGCAUCCAACUCCUGCACACAGAGCUCUGAACUGUGAGGGUGUGUCGAGCUAGAGA